UACGUAGGGAGCAAGCGUUGUCCGGAUUUAUUGGGCGUAAAGAGCUCGUAGGCGGUUCCGUAAGUCAGGUGUGAAAAAUCUGGGCUCAACCCAGUGGAGCACCUGAUACUGCGGUGACUCGAGUCCGGUAGGGGAGUGUGGAAUUCCUGGUGUAGCGGUGAAAUGCGCAGAUAUCAGGAGGAACACCGGUGGUGUAGACGGCUCUCUGGACCGUAACUGACGCUGAGACACGAAAGCGUGGGUAGCAAACAGG
rnacentral:rRNA from 1 species